rnacentral:rRNA from 1 species
UUAUAUGAGAGUUUGAUCCUGGCUCAGGACGAACGCUGGCGGCGUGCCUAAUACAUGCAAGUCGAACGCACGAAGUUGAAGAGCUUGCUCUUUAACGAAGUGAGUGGCGGACGGGUGAGUAACACGUGGGUGACAAGCUUAUUAGAGGGGGAUAACAUUCGGAAACGGAUGCUAAUACCGCAUAGUUUCAGGRAUCGCAUGAUUCUUGAAGGAAAGGUGGCUUCGGCUACCACUAAUGGAUGGACCCACGGCGUAUUAGCUAGUUGGUGAGGUAAUGGCUCACCAAGGCAAUGAUACGUAGCCGACCUGAGAGGGUCAUCGGCCACACUGGGACUGAGACACGGCCCUGACUCCUACGGGAGGCAGCAGUAGGGAAUCUUCCGCAAUGGACGAAAGUCUGACGGAGCAACGCCGCGUGAGUGAAGAAGGUUUUCGGAUCGUAAAACUCUGUUGUUAAAGAAGAACAAGGAUGAGAGUAACUGCUCAUCUC